AGGCCUACCUCUCCUUACCAAACUGCCUGGCAAGCCUGCAGAAUCACAGUGGCCGGGAAUCCAAUAUUCUUAAUAAUCCAGAAGUCUCUGUCUGCAUUCCAGCCCCCUAUUUUGCCACCCCGAGUUGACGACCACGAAACAAGCCUUCCAAGACCCCAUCUUAUCUCAAGAGCUUGUCUCAGGUUUCUUUACGGGGGACGGGGGAGUUGGCUAGCGAGAUACUCUCCCCACUUUGACCCGAAUUAGUGUCCUGCUGGCAGCCUAGUUGCUUCCCCAGGGACCCAAGGGGUUAAACCCAGGCGAGGGGACUCGGUAGGAUUUGCCUCCUAAACGCAUUUUCCAGUUCAUUCCCCAGCACAAUAUGCCUGGGCCGUCCUAGCCUCCGCCCGCCCCCACCCCAUCCGUCAGAAUAGGCCAAUAUGGGCCACCCCAGGGUCGGGCGCGGAGUUAACCCCUCUUCUGCCGGCAGCUCACACCUCGAGGAAAGACACGCGGGACACCCUCGGGGCCUCCCGGGAAAGUGGGUCAUGCGGCCACCUGGCUGGCAUGAAGCCCGUGGAGCUUCCUCCUGGGAGAGCCCUCCGCUUUAGAAGUGGAGUUCCGAGACGGAGCCCAGCCCCGCGCAAGGCCCGGAGUUUGCGAUCCCUAGGCGGCCCGACCUCACCCUCCAGAAAAGGAACCGCAGGUGAGUAAGAAGCUGCCUGUGCCGCAGGAGCAGGUUCCGAUCGCCCGCUGUGGGGCGAUGUGGGGCAGGAGGGGGCCCCCAUGAGCCCGAAACCAUCUGACAAGAGGCCGCCAAAAGAAAUGAAGUCGCCCCCAACCCCCGCCACUCUCCUAGCCCACAGCCCACCAGCUAGGAGACUGACGCCCUCCCCCUGGGGCUGUUGUCUCAUACCCCAAGCCCGUGAUUACGGUGAUUAUUUUGCAUUUAUGUAACACGCAGUGUUUCCAAACUGCUUCUCGAGCUGAGAACUGGUUAUUAAAUAAAUAGAACCCU
rnacentral:lncRNA from 1 species